rnacentral:rRNA from 1 species
GAUGAACGCUGGCGGCGUGCCUAAUACAUGCAAGUCGAGCGAACGGACGAGAAGCUUGCUUCUCUGAUGUUAGCGGCGGACGGGUGAGUAACACGUGGAUAACCUACCUAUAAGACUGGGAUAACUUCGGGAAACCGGAGCUAAUACCGGAUGAUAUUUUGAACCGCAUGGUUCAAAAGUGAAAGACGGUCUUGCUGUCACUUAUAGAUGGGUCCACGCUGCAUUAGCUAGUUGGUAAGGUAACGGCUUACCAAGGCAACGAUGCAUAGCCGACCUGAGAGGGUGAUCGGCCACACUGGAACUGAGACACGGUCCAGACUCCUACGGGAGGCAGCAGUAGGGAAUCUUCCGCAAUGGGCGAAAGCCUGACGGAGCAACGCCGCGUGAGUGAUGAAGGUCUUCGGAUCGUAAAACUCUGUUAUUAGGGAAGAACAUAUGUGUAAGUAACUGUGCACAUCUUGACGGUACCUAAUCAGAAAGCCACGGCUAACUACGUG